rnacentral:pre_miRNA from 1 species
AACAUACUCCCUCCGUCCGAAAAUACUUGUCAUCAAAAUGAAUAAAAGAGGAUGUAUCUAGAUGUAUUUUAGUUUUAAAUACAUCUCUUCUUAUCCAUUUUGAUGACAAGUAUUUUCGGACGGAGGGAGUAAUAU